UACGAAGGGGGCUAGCGUUGCUCGGAAUUACUGGGCGUAAAGCGCACGUAGGCGGCUUUCUAAGUCGGGGGUGAAAUCCUGGAGCUCAACUCCAGAACUGCCUUCGAUACUGGAGAGCUUGAGUCCGGGAGAGGUGAGUGGAACUGCGAGUGUAGAGGUGAAAUUCGUAGAUAUUCGCAAGAACACCAGUGGCGAAGGCGGCUCACUGGCCCGAU
rnacentral:rRNA from 1 species